rnacentral:rRNA from 1 species
UUAGGACUGGUAGGAAAAUCCGCCGGUUUUGCUGAAACCUGAUAGUAUCUGGAGGCUUCGGCCGAAGGAAUAGUGAAUGUAAGCAGACUUCCAAGAAAACCCUCUAAGCAUAUUGAUAUGGUACCCGUACCGGAAACCGACACAGGUAGUCAAGGAGAAUAUCCUGAGGUGCUCGAGUGAUCCAUGGCUAAGGAACUAGGCAAAUUAACCCUGUAACUUCGGGAAAAGGGGUGCCUCGCUGUAGCAAUACAGCAGGUCGCAGAGAAAUGGCCCAGGCGACUGUUUAACAAAAACACAUGGCUAUGCGAAAUCGAAAGAUUAUGUAUAUGGCCUGACACCUGCCCGGUGCUGGAAGGUUAAGGGGGGAUGUUAGCCGCAAGGCGACGCAUUGAACUGAAGCCCCAGUAAACGGCGGCCGUAACUAUAACGGUCCUAAGGUAGCGAAAUUCCUUGUCGGGUAAGUUCCGACCUGCACGAAUGGUGUAACGAUCUGGGCACUGUCUCAGCCAUGAGCUCGGUGAAAUUGUAGUCACGGUGAAGAUGCCGUGUACCCGUCACGGGACGGAAAGACCCCAUGCACCUUUACUAUAGCUUCGCAUUGACAUUGGGUAGAUGAUGUGUAGGAUAGGUGGGAGGCUUUGAUCCUGUGCCGCUAGGUAUAGGGGAGCCAACGGUGAAAUACCACCCUUUAUUUAUCUGAUGUCUAAUCCGCCAAAAGUGGAGACAGUGCGUGGUGGGUAGUUUGACUGGGGUGGUCGCCUCCGAAAGUGUAUCGGAGGCUUUCAAAGGUAUGUUCAGUACGCUUGGUAACCGUACGUGGAGUGCAAUAGCAUAAACAUGCUUGACUGUGAGAUCGACGGAUCGAGCAGGAUCGAAAGAUGGAUAUAGUGAUCCGGUGGUUCUGUAUGGAAGGGCCAUCGCUCAAAGGAUAAAAGGUACGCUGGAUAACAGGCUGAUCUCCCCCAAGAGCUCACAUCGACGGGGAGGUUUGGCACCUCGAUGUCGGCUCGUCACAUCCCGGGGCUGGAGAAGGUCCCAAGGGUUAGGCUGUUCGCCUAUUAAAGUGGCACGCGAGCUGGGUUCAGAACGUCGUGAAACAGUUCGGUCCCUAUCUGUGAUGGGCGUAGGAAGCUUGAGAGGUCCUGAUUUUAGUACGAGAGGACCGAAUUGGACCGACCGCUGGUGUACCGGUUGUGGCGUCAGCUGCAUCGCCGGGUAGCUAUGUCGGGAAGAGAUGAGCGCUGAAAGCAUCUAAGCGCGAAACUCACCUCAAGAUGAGGCUUCCAUUAAGGGACGUCAGAGAUUAUGACGUUGAUAGGCUGCAGGUGUAAAGGCAGAAAUGUCAAAGCUGAGCAGUACUAAUAACCUA